UACGAAGGGGGCUAGCGUUGCUCGGAAUCACUGGGCGUAAAGCGCACGUAGGCGGAUUGCUAAGUCAGGGGUGAAAUCCUGGAGCUCAACUCCAGAACUGCCUUUGAUACUGGCGAUCUCGAGUUCGGGAGAGGUGAGUGGAACUGCGAGUGUAGAGGUGAAAUUCGUAGAUAUUCGCAAGAACACCAGUGGCGAAGGCGGCUCACUGGCCCGAUACUGACGCUGAGACGCGAAAGCGUGGGGAGCGAACAGG
rnacentral:rRNA from 1 species